rnacentral:lncRNA from 1 species
GUGUUAUAUGAUUGUCAGUAAAAUAUGAAAGUCAUGUCAUUUCGGACUGAUACAUUUGAUUGCUUAAUAAUCAUAAUUUACUAACAUGUCUGUUGGCAGAAAAAGUUGCAAGUUCUGUUAGAGACACAUCUAAGAUUACACUGGGGAAAAAAUUGUAGAAACAAUUCUCUAAGAAAUUGCUAGUAAACUUUACAAUUCAAAAUAAUCAAGUAGCACGUUGAAUUAAAAGGUUUUGAAGAUUAAAAAAAAAAAAAAAAGUAUUUUCUUCUAAAACAUACUCCAAUAGUCGUUUAUUGUAACUGAAAUAUUUUUUAUAGUGUACUUGGAUUUGUGUAUUCAGGUUGGGCCUACAUAAUCAAUUUAUUUGCCAAAAUUGGGAUUUAUUGAGUUCAGAGUGAUUCAAAGACAAUCCUCAGAUUAUCCCCAUGUUCCAGGAUAUCUCAGAAAUGCUCAAGCCUUUCUGUGUGCUGCAUGCUGACAAUGGAACGAGGGAAAGGGGGACAGGGAGGGAGAAUUUGGUGGUGUGUGACCAAUGGGCUUGCCUGAUGUAUUUUUAAUGCACAUGAAUGAUUGAUCACUGUACGUGGACAUGCUCCCCCAAGGGGCGGCUGCAGUCUGGUGCUGUCGGUGCAGAUAUGAGUGUGACGAGGGGACCUUCUGGACUGAGCAUGAACACUGUGGAGUUAAAGCAUCAGUGGGCAAUGCAGAGAAAUCGCACUCUGGUCCGGACAUACCUGCUCUCCAGUUCUGUGCUCCCACUUCCUGGCUCACGGAGCAGAGAUGAUUUCAGACUGCCAUCAUUAUUGUCCAGAUCAACACAUGGUCGGACCACCGCGGUGCCUCUCAGUGUCAGUGAGCCCUGCUUGUUCACCCCAGGCCAGAGAGCAGUUUUCGAGGGGUUUUCAAAAAUCCACCAUCCCCUUCUACACACACCUGGCCCAUCUCCCUCCUGCAAGACCCUUGAGAAACCAAAGAUGCCUCAGCAGAGCUAUCAUCAAGUGUACAUGCAUUUCUCUCAGCCUCUGAAGCCUGUACCAAAGGUUGGACAGGCCUUUACUCACAGUCAGCAGCAGGCCACAGAGAACAGAGGCCUGCAGCCGUUAGUGAGGCAGCGCAGGCAGCCCGCAAACCUAGAGACUUUAUCUGUCAGAGGAAAGACUUGCCUUCCUACACAGCAUUUACCCACAUCUUCAUCUAGUGCAUCUCGCACACAGCUGCACGUGUUCUUGCCUGCAGAGGGUGCUGGACAGGAGGAAGACAGGGACAGUGAGUCAGUUGAUGAGGGUUUCAUGGAUGAGCUGGAUAACAAAGUCACCAACCUGAGACUUCUACAAGAUCCAAAGACCCCCAAACAGAUAGAAAAAUCACUGACGGGUCAAAUGGUAAAAUUAACUUCCUAGUGUCAUGCUUUUAAUUGUAGCAUUUCAUAUUUUGAUGUGUGUUGUACGCU